AUUGAACGCUGGCGGCAGGCCUAACACAUGCAAGUCGAACGAGAGGCGGACGUGUGAGCAAUGUCUGGGAAACUGCCUGAGGGAGGGGGAUAACUACUGGAAACGGUAGCUAAUACCGCAUACCAUCGGAUGUGCCCAGAUGGGAGUAGCUAGUAGGGGGGGUAAAGGCUACCCUAGGCGACGAUCCCUAGCUGGUCUGAGAGGAUGACCAGCCACACUGUAACUGAGACACGGUCCAGACUCCUACGGGAGGCAGCAGUGGGGAAUAUUGCACAAUGGGCGAAAGCCUGAUGCAGCAAUGCCGCGUGUAUGAAGAAGGCCUUCGGGUUGUAAAGGACUUUCAGCGGGGAGGCGUUACCCGCAGAAGAAGCACCGGCUAACGCCGUGCCAGCAGCCGCGGUAAUAC
rnacentral:rRNA from 1 species